rnacentral:rRNA from 1 species
UACGUAGGGUGCAGGCGUUUAAUCGGAAUUACUGGGCGUAAAGCGUGCGCAGGCGGUUUCUUAAGUCAGAUGUGAAAGCCCCGGGCUUAACCUGGGAACUGCGUUUGAAACUGGGAGACUUGAGUGUGGCAGAGGGGGGGUGGAAUUCCACGGUGUAGCAGUGAAAUGCGUAGAUAAUGUGGAGGAACACCAAUGGCGAAGGCAGGCCGAUCCU